rnacentral:rRNA from 1 species
UACGUAGGGUGCAAGCGUUGUCCGGAAUUAUUGGGCGUAAAGAGCUCGUAGGCGGUCUGUCGCGUCGGCUGUGAAAACCCGAGGCUCAACCUCGGGCCUGCAGUCGAUACGGGCAAACUAGAGUACUGCAGGGGAGACUGGAAUUCCUGGUGUAGCGGUGAAAUGCGUAGAUAUCAGGAGGAAUACCGAUGGCGAAGGCAGGUCUCUGGGCUGACACUGACGCUCAUGCACGAAAGCGUGGGGAGCAAACAGG